rnacentral:rRNA from 1 species
AUUGAACGCUGGCGGCAGGCUUAACACAUGCAAGUCGAGCGGAGAUGAGGUGCUUGCACCUUAUCUUAGCGGCGGACGGGUGAGUAAUGCUUAGGAAUCUGCCUAUUAGUGGGGGACAACAUUCCGAAAGUAAUGCUAAUACCGCAUACGCCCCACGGGGGAAAGCAGGGGAUCUUCGGACCCUGCGCUCAUAGAGGAGCCUAAGUCGGAUUAGCUAGGUGGCGGGGUAAAGGCCUACCAAGGCGACGGUCUGGAGCGGGUCUGAGAGGAUGAGCCGCCACACUGGGACUGAGACACGGCCCAGACUCCUACGGGAGGCAGCAGUGGGGAAUAUUGGACAAUGGGCGGAAGCCUGAUCCAGCCAUGCCGCGUGUGUGAAGAAGGCCUUUUGGUUGUAAAGCACUUUAAGCGAGGAGGAGGCUACCUGGAUUAAUACUCUAGGAUAGUGGACGUUACUCGCAGAAUAAGCACCGGCUAACUCUGUGCCAGCAGCCGCGGUAAAAC